AAUUUUUUAAAAACUUCUUCAAAGUGUUCUCCCUUAAGCAACCGCAUUCCUAUGGUUUACGUGGGAGUUGAUUAAAAGGCAUUGUUAGAUUUUUGUGUGUUUCAAUAAUCUGAAUUCUGAGUCUUUACUUGUUGGUGGGUUUCUUGGGAAGAUUCAUGUUGAGCUAUCUAGGGGGUGCAGACACAGUAGAGAGCUGCUGGACUUCGGGGAAGACGUUCUCAUCAUGGCCAGGGUGUGCACAUAGACCUGGAGUCAAGGGGGACACUUAACCUUCUGCUAUACCUAGAAUAGAAGGGGGCAACCCUACCCCUAGUUCCCAUCAACCCCAUUCUGUUAUUUUGACUAACAAAAACAUUUCCUUCAGCAGUUCACUCUACUCAAGUCAGAGGCAUGAAGGUCAAGUGGCAGGACCCACCUGCAAUACUUAGUGUCUGUUUGCAAAACAAGGCAAAAUCAGCGCUGGCCACUUGCCCAGUUUCAGCUGUCAGUCCCUCUCCUUGAGAGCUCCUUAGUAACAGCUCCCCCUGAGGAACAUGGUCCUUUGACAGCUGCUCAAAGGCAUUCAGGUCAUGUUAAUGUCACUUUCCCUUUGCGAGCCUUUCCCUGUAUACAGUGUGUCAACAUUAACAGCCCAGUGCCUGCCUGCGUGGAUGAUGGUUCCAUGUACCUUGUUUUUACUUGAUGUGUUGAACUGGUUUUGUUUUGAGAAAGAGCUAACUGUGUGGAUCAAGCUGACCUCAAAUUAAUGAUACUCCUGCCUCAGCUUCCAGUAGCCAGGAGUAUUAGGCAGCUACUGUUUAAAUGUUUUCUAAGACUUGAGGAAAGAAGGAAACCUGAUUUUUAAAAAUCAAAUUGGAUAACUUAGAAAACCUUAUGGGGAUAAAACUCAGGCCCAGUUAAUGAAAAAGUACCCAUGUGCUCUCCUCAUCUUCACCUUUGACCUGUGCCCUCGAAACCCAGGCUCUCCUUCAGAUUCCUGCUCCAGCAAACACUUUUCUCUGGGCUUUUUGUUUUAUGAGUGGUCUGUCUGCAUGUAUAUGUACCAUGAGUGCCUGAUGUCCCCAGGGGUCAGAAGAGGGCAUUGGAGUCCCUGAAACUGAAGCUACUGGUUGCUGGGAAUCAAUGUCAGGUUCUGUGCAGGGACAGCUAGUGCGAGCUCUAAGCCGCAAAGCCACCUCUGCAGCUCCUCUUGUAAGAGUAUUUUCAGAAGUUGUGUUCUGUUAACAAAGAAUGGGUUUGUCUCCUCAGCAUGCCUGUCAUAGGAGAUUUGAUGCCGUAAAGGCUGGGAAGGAAGUGCUCAAGGGAAGUCUCUUGGAAGUGUGAUAAACAAGCACAUUUUUAUGUCCUAUUUAUCCUCGGUAAACCUUUUACUUUCACUAAAAUUGUUUUCUUUCUGAAAUUAAGUUUAGAUAAUUAAAAUCUGUUAGAAUCUUUAAAAUCUGCACAUCUGUUUAAUUCCUUCCCAAAUUUGUUCACAUUUGAAAGUUAUUUCUUUUUCUGGGGCCAUAUUUCAGAGCAACCACUUAAGAUGUGAAGCAGAGAAUAUUGGUGUACUCUGGCAUUUGAUGUCACCAGGUAGCAUACCCUCGGCUGAUGUUCAGAUGACACUCUGCAUUCCUUCCCGAGAAGAGCAGCCUGACAGUCAAAGUAUACAAUUAGGAGCAGGGGCAGGAUCUUCCACAGACACUCAAAUCCCAAGGACUUAGAAGUACCCCCUCAGCUGUGAACAAGAUAAAACAGCUUCUCAAAGACAAGCCAGAGCACGUGGGUCUGAAAGUUGGUGUGCGAACCAGGGGCUGUAAUGGCCUCUCUUACACCCUGGAGUAUACAAAGACAAAAGGAGAUUCUGAUGAAGAAGUUAUUCAAGAUGGCUUUAUGUGACGUGUGUUUUCUUUACCCCAAGAGUCAGUGUUCAUCGAAAGGAAAGCACAGUUAACACUUUUAGGAACAGAAAUGGACUAUGUGGAAGACAAACUAUCCAGUGAGUUUGUUUUCAAUAACCCCAACAUCAAAGGAACUUGUGGCUGUGGUGAAAGCUUCAACAUUUGAAACCUCAGGAGGACUCCAAGCUCCAGGAGAGCCGGGAUCUACCUGGGAGCUUACUGAAGAAAUCAUGUGAUUGUCACGUGCUCAGAGUUUAUAAUGUGUGGCCAUCUCAAGGGGGAAAAUAAAGUGAUGCAUUUUGGAAAUCAAGCCAGUGUGCUAAGAGUCCCAACAACUGACAUCUGUAUUGUCUUGGUAUCUGUAUGUGAGAGACCAUUGGUUUCUUUGGGUCGUUCUUCUGUUCUUUACAGAAAACUCCUACCCUGCUCUUAACACUGCAGUGUGCUUUGUGACAGAACCAACUUUGUGGCCACAGAUAACAGGUGUGCACCCAGAUCCAGGUGGGACAACUGUGGGUGACAGCGUAGUGGUACCUCAUUCCCCUCUCAGAUUUGCCAUGGCCUUUUAUAUUUUUAUUAGAAAUAUGGUUAUCGGAUGCCUCGUUUGCCUGCUCCUCAGCAGUUCCACACUUCUGAGUGGUGGUGUCAGAAGGUGGGCGCCGCCAGGCCUGGCCUCAGUCCAUCCCCUAGGAGGUGCUUAGACCUUUCAGUUGGAGGCUGCUGUGACCAGCAGGCAGCUAGCUCACUGCACUUCACCCUGUGCAUGUAGAGACCAGAUCCGAGCACAAGUCAGAAGAGUUAGACCGCACCCAGCUCCCCCUUCCGCACAGAUGAUACCAGUGCUCUAUGAGACACUCAGUGGGGGUGAGUGGUGGCCUGGCUUCCGUGCCUGGGCAGUGUUUCCAUAAGACUUUCUUAAUUUAUGGAGAUUGCAUUAGUUUUCUUUUGAAUGGAAAAGUCUUGUUUAAACCCUUUGUGUGAAUUGCCAUCUUGUUUGUUUAGAACUUUGAAACAGAGAUCCUGCAAUGGUGGAAUUGCCCUUGGAGCACAGGACCUGUGGAGCAGAACAUGGAAGUGUUGUCUUAUAGUUCCCAAUAUGCGUAUACUCUCUGGUUCCUAAAUGAAAUAGCUGAAUUUUUAGUGUUUUUAUCACCCAUCUUUUGAGUUGUGAUUUUGCUGUAGAGUACAGGCCAGCCUCACUCUCGACCCUCCCGCUGCAGCUUUGAGACAUGCCAAGCUUUUCUUCAGAGCGGUCUUGACUUGUGUUGACAUCUUAAGUGACCUGUGAUUUUCAUGAAGUAGCUGGGGUUAAUAUUUGCGCUAUUUACUAAAAUACCUACCACCAAAAUGCACCAUGUAGUUUUAUAUGAUUGUUGAUAAGUCUGUAUCAUAAGUAGACUUGUUGAUACACCUUUAAUUUGUGCAAUAUUGUAUGUAGCGAUUGAGUAUCAAUUAAAAAACACCUCUCUGUGA